rnacentral:rRNA from 1 species
GGGGAAUAUUGGGCAAUGGGCGCAAGCCUGACCCAGCGACGCCGCGUGCGGGAUGACGCUUCUCGGAGUGUAAACCGCUGUCAGAGGGGACGAACGGCCGGAGGGGGAAUACUGCUUCGGAUUGACGGUACCCUCAAAGGAAGCGCCGGCUAACUCCGGGCCAGCAGCCGCGGUAAUACGGAGGGCGCAAGCGUUGUUCGGAAUCACUGGGCGUAAAGCGCGCGCAGGCGGGUGUGCAAGUCGGAAGUGAAAUCCCGGGGCUCAACUCCGGGGCUGCUGCCGAUACUGCACGCCUAGAGACCAGUAGAGGUUGGUGGAAUUCCCGGUGUAGCGGUGGAAUGCGUAGAUAUCGGGAAGAACACCUGUGGCGAGGGCGGCCAACUGGGCUGGAUCUGACGCUGAGGCGCGAAAGCGUGGGGAGCAA